CAGUCGCCGCGGUAAUACGUAGGUGGCAAGCGUUGUCCGGAAUUAUUGGGCGUAAAGGGCUCGCAGGCGGUUUCUUAAGUCUGAUGUGAAAGCCCCCGGCUCAACCGGGGAGGGUCAUUGGAAACUGGGAAACUUGAGUGCAGAAGAGGAGAGUGGAAUUCCACGUGUAGCGGUGAAAUGCGUAGAGAUGCGGAGGAACACCAGUGGCGAAGGCGACUCUCUGGUCUGUAACUGACGCUGAGGAGCGAAAGCGUGGGGAGCGAACAGGAUUAGAUACCGGGUAGUCCCUGUCUCUUAUACA
rnacentral:rRNA from 1 species